rnacentral:piRNA from 1 species
UAGAAGGGCUGAUGCUGUUCCAAGAC